CCUACGGGGGGCUGCAGUAGGGAAUCUUCCGCAAUGGACGAAAGUCUGACGGAGCAACGCCGCGUGAGUGAUGAAGGUUUUCGGAUCGUAAAACUCUGUUGUUAGGGAAGAACAAGUAUCGGAGUAACUGCCGGUACCUUGACGGUACCUAACCAGAAAGCCACGGCUAACUACGUGCCAGCAGCCGCGGUAAUACGUAGGUGGCAAGCGUUGUCCGGAAUUAUUGGGCGUAAAGCGCGCGCAGGCGGUCCUUUAAGUCUGAUGUGAAAGCCCACGGCUCAACCGUGGAGGGUCAUUGGAAACUGGGGGACUUGAGUGCAGAAGAGGAGAGUGGAAUUCCACGUGUAGCGGUGAAAUGCGUAGAGAUGUGGAGGAACACCAGUGGCGAAGGCGACUCUCUGGUC
rnacentral:rRNA from 1 species